AUACAUUUUUCAAAAAAUGCCUCUCUGUGCAAAAUGGGUUUAAACACAUAAACAGCUGUGGGAUACUGUUUGUCCGUGAUUUGAACCGGGGGAACAAAUUACGGCAGGAUCAGCCUGAUAUUAUUUGUAUCCCACUGUAACUUUACUGCAUAAAGAGCUAACAUGUCCAAAAUGUCAGGAGUAGUUAUUUAUUACAAGAAGUGUUUGUGAACUAAAAAUCAAGAAUGUGGGAUACUGUUUGUCCGUGAUUUGGAGAGCCCAGCGCUGCUCCCGACGCAGGGAAACUAAUUUUGCAGGGGAGACCUACCUUGGCACUUGUGCAGGUGAAGCCAAAGGGAAGAUAUGCUUCACCAUAUUUUCCUGUCUUUGGCUUGGAAGGAAGUUGGUUUGGAAACAUAUUUGGCGAUGCUUCAUCUCCUGCUUUGCGUUUAUGUGGGAGCCCCGUCAAAAACCUGUCCACAGUGUCCAAGCGCUCUUUUUCUUUUUUCUUUUCAUACCGCCCACACUUUGGGAACCUCUGCCUUAGUGCAAGUAGUCCAUUGCGCUGGGAGACACUUAAAAGAAGUGGAGGAUCUAUCGGUUUUGUGAGGAAAAUUAAAGAUGAGAGGGAUCGACUCGCACGGAAUUAUGGGAUGUGGACGGACAUUUGCAAGUCAGCGAAAACUCAGUGCUUCCUUCUGGCCUUUCUGGAUGUUUGCACGGACCCUGACGCCCACCUGCUGACGACACUCGCUCAGGCCCAAGUGGAGUUUUAAAGUGUGGCAACAACACGGAGGUAGCAGACUCAGCGCUGACAGACAUUUCUUCAUGGCUGAAUCAUUUUUCCUUCUUAAUGAUGCUCGUUUGUUUCCUCGUUAGAUUCCCACAAAUAAAAAAAACAAUAUCC
ensembl:lncRNA